UACGACCGCAUCACGUUGAAACAUUGGUUCCCGUACGAUCACCGAAGUUAAGCGACGUCGAUGCUGGUCAGUACCUAGAUGGGUGAAUUUUAUGGAAUACCACGUGCUGUAA